UCAGCCGCCGCGGUAAUACCGGCGGCCCGAGUGGCGGUCACUAUUAUUUGGCUUAAAGCGUCCGUAGCCGGGGUGGGAAGUCCUCCGGGAAAUCUGGCCGCUUAACGGUCAGAAUGCCGGAGGAUACUCCCAGCCUAGGGAGCGGGAGAGGCCGAGGGGAUUCCCGGAGUAGGGGUGAAAUCCUAUAAUCCCGGGAGGAGCACCUGUGGCGGAGGCGCUCGGCUGGGACGCGUCCGACGGUGAGGGACGAAGGCCAGGGGAGCAAACCGGAUUAGAUACCCGGGUAGUCCUGGCUGUAAACGAUGCGGACUUUGUGUCGGACAAGCUAUGAGCUUGUCCGGUGCCGGAGGGAAACCGUUAAGUCCGCCGCCUGGGGAGUACGGCCGCAAGGCUGAAACUUAAAGGAAUUGGCGGG
rnacentral:rRNA from 1 species